GAGACAGCAGUCGCCGCGGUAAUACGAAGGGUGCAAGCGUUAAUCGGAAUUACUGGGCGUAAAGCGUGCGUAGGCGGUUUGUUAAGUCUGUUGUGAAAUCCCCGGGCUCAACCUGGGAAUGGCAAUGGAUACUGGCAAGCUAGAGUGUGUCAGAGGAUGGUGGAAUUCCCGGUGUAGCGGUGAAAUGCGUAGAGAUCGGGAGGAACAUCAGUGGCGAAGGCGGCCAUCUGGGACAACACUGACGCUGAGGCACGAAAGCGUGGGGAGCAAACAGGAUUAGAUACCCGGGUAGUCCCUGUCUCUUAUAA
rnacentral:rRNA from 1 species